CGAAGAAAUUUCAUAUAGCACCA
rnacentral:snRNA from 1 species